UUAAGCGACUAAGCGUACACGGUGGAUGCCCUGGCAGUCAGAGGCGAUGAAGGACGUGCUAAUCUGCGAAAAGCGUCGGUAAGGUGAUAUGAACCGUUAUAACCGGCGAUGUCCGAAUGGGGAAACCCAGUGUGAUUCGUCACACUAUCGUUAACUGAAUACAUAGGUUAACGAGGCGAACCGGGGGAACUGAAACAUCUAAGUACCCCGAGGAAAAGAAAUCAACCGAGAUUCCCCCAGUAGCGGCGAGCGAACGGGGAGCAGCCCAGAGUCUGAAUCAGCNUGUGUGUUAGUGGAACGGUCUGGAAAGUCCGACGGUACAGGGUGAUAGUCCCGUACACCAAAAUGCACAGGUUGUGAACUCGAAGAGUAGGGCGGGACACGUGGUAUCCUGUCUGAAUAUGGGGGGACCAUCCUCCAAGGCUAAAUACUCCUGACUGACCGAUAGUGAACCAGUACCGUGAGGGAAAGGCGAAAAGAACCCCGGCGAGGGGAGUGAAAAAGAACCUGAAACCGUGUACGUACAAGCAGUGGGAGCACCUUCGGGUGUGACUGCGUACCUUUUGUAUAAUGGGUCAGCGACUUAUAUUCUGUAGCAAGGUUAACCGUAUAGGGGAGCCGCAGGGAAACCGAGUCUUAACUGGGCGUUAAGUUGCAGGGUAUAGACCCGAAACCCGGUGAUCUAGCCAUGGGCAGGUUGAAGGUUGGGUAACACUAACUGGAGGACCGAACCGACUAAUGUUGAAAAAUUAGCGGAUGACUUGUGGCUGGGGGUGAAAGGCCAAUCAAACCGGGAGAUAGCUGGUUCUCCCCGAAAGCUAUUUAGGUAGCGCCUCGUGAAUUCAUCUUCGGGGGUAGAGCACUGUUUCGGCUAGGGGGUCAUCCCGACUUACCAACCCGAUGCAAACUACGAAUACCGAAGAAUGUUAUCACGGGAGACACACGGCGGGUGCUAACGUCCGUCGUGAAGAGGGAAACAACCCAGACCGCCAGCUAAGGUCCCAAAGUCAUGGUUAAGUGGGAAACGAUGUGGGAAGGCACAGACAGCCAGGAUGUUGGCUUAGAAGCAGCCAUCAUUUAAAGAAAGCGUAAUAGCUCACUGGUCGAGUCGGCCUGCGCGGAAGAUGUAACGGGGCUAAACCAUGCACCGAAGCUGCGGCAGCGACACUAUGUGUUGUUGGGUAGGGGAGCGUUCUGUAAGCCUGCGAAGGUGUGCUGUGAGGCAUGCUGGAGGUAUCAGAAGUGCGAAUGCUGACAUAAGUAACGAUAAAGCGGGUGAAAAGCCCGCUCGCCGGAAGACCAAGGGUUCCUGUCCAACGUUAAUCGGGGCAGGGUGAGUCGACCCCUAAGGCGAGGCCGAAAGGCGUAGUCGAUGGGAAACAGGUUAAUAUUCCUGUACUUGGUGUUACUGCGAAGGGGGGACGGAGAAGGCUAUGUUAGCCGGGCGACGGUUGUCCCGGUUUAAGCAUGUAGGCUGGUUGUCCAGGCAAAUCCGGAUAAUCAAGGCUGAGGUGUGAUGACGAGGCACUACGGUGCUGAAGUAACAAAUGCCCUGCUUCCAGGAAAAGCCUCUAAGCAUCAGGUAACAUUAAAUCGUACCCCAAACCGACACAGGUGGUCAGGUAGAGAAUACCAAGGCGCUUGAGAGAACUCGGGUGAAGGAACUAGGCAAAAUGGUGCCGUAACUUCGGGAGAAGGCACGCUGGUGUGUAGGUGAAGUCCCUGCGGAUGGAGCUGAGACCAGUCGAAGAUACCAGCUGGCUGCAACUGUUUAUUAAAAACACAGCACUGUGCAAACACGAAAGUGGACGUAUACGGUGUGACGCCUGCCCGGUGCCGGAAGGUUAAUUGAUGGGGUUAUCCGUAAGGAGAAGCUCUUGAUCGAAGCCCCGGUAAACGGCGGCCGUAACUAUAACGGUCCUAAGGUAGCGAAAUUCCUUGUCGGGUAAGUUCCGACCUGCACGAAUGGCGUAAUGAUGGCCAGGCUGUCUCCACCCGAGACUCAGUGAAAUUGAACUCGCUGUGAAGAUGCAGUGUACCCGCGGCAAGACGGAAAGACCCCGUGAACCUUUACUAUAGCUUGACACUGAACAUUGAGCCUUGAUGUGUAGGAUAGGUGGGAGGCUUUGAAGCGUGGACGCCAGUCUGCGUGGAGCCAACCUUGAAAUACCACCCUUUAAUGUUUGAUGUUCUAACGUUGGCCCCUGACCGGGGUUGCGGACAGUGUCUGGUGGGUAGUUUGACUGGGGCGGUCUCCUCCCAAAGCGUAACGGAGGAGCACGAAGGUUAGCUAAUCCUGGUCGGACAUCAGGAGGUUAGUGCAAUGGCAUAAGCUAGCUUGACUGCGAGCGUGACGGCGCGAGCAGGUGCGAAAGCAGGUCAUAGUGAUCCGGUGGUUCUGAAUGGAAGGGCCAUCGCUCAACGGAUAAAAGGUACUCCGGGGAUAACAGGCUGAUACCGCCCAAGAGUUCAUAUCGACGGCGGUGUUUGGCACCUCGAUGUCGGCUCAUCACAUCCUGGGGCUGAAGUAGGUCCCAAGGGUAUGGCUGUUCGCCAUUUAAAGUGGUACGCGAGCUGGGUUUAGAACGUCGUGAGACAGUUCGGUCCCUAUCUGCCGUGGGCGCUGGAGAAUUGAGGGGGGCUGCUCCUAGUACGAGAGGACCGGAGUGGACGCAUCACUGGUGUUCGGGUUGUCAUGCCAAUGGCACUGCCCGGUAGCUAAAUGCGGAAGAGAUAAGUGCUGAAAGCAUCUAAGCACGAAACUUGCCCCGAGAUGAGUUCUCCCUGAGACUUUAAGUCUCCUGAAGGAACGUUGAAGACGACGACGUUGAUAGGCCGGGUGUGUAAGCGCAGCGAUGCGUUGAGCUAACCGGUACUAAUGAACCGUGAGGCUUAACCUU
rnacentral:rRNA from 1 species